rnacentral:lncRNA from 1 species
UGUCCAGGGGGCGCCCACACAUCUGGGGAGGGGUCCCAGGUGUCCAGGGGGGACCCAGGUGUCCGGGGGGCACCCACACAUCUGGGGAGGGGUCCCAGGUGUCCGGGGGGGGACCCAGGUGUCCAGGGAGGGGUCCCAGGUGUCCAGGGGGCACCCACACAUCUGGGGAGGGGUCCCAGGUGUCCGGGGGGGGACCCAGGUGUCCAGGGAGGGGUCCCAGGUGUCCAGGGGGCACCCACACAUCUGGGGAGGGGUCCCAGGUGUCCAGGGAGGGGUCCCAGGUGUCCAGGGGGGGCACCCAGGUGUCCAGGGGGGGGACCCAGGUGUCCGGGGGGGGGACCCAGGUGUCCGGGGGGGGACGCAGGCCUCUGGGCCACCUACCCUUGGCCGCCGGCGUCAAGAAGCUCUGGGUGGGCUCCAGGAAGAGGUCGAGAUCUUCUGUGGGGUGGGAAGGACCUUGAGAAAGGACCCGGGUGUCCACGCGGGGGGGGACCCAGGUGACCAGGGCGCCCCCACUUACCCUCGGUGUCCCUGUCACUCCCGGAGGCCAAAUUUGGGUCCACGUGUGGGGAUUUGGGGGUGGAAACAUCUGGCGGCACAGCUGGAUCCCUGCCCCUCGCUGAGGGCUCCCCGCUGCAUUGCUGGCACCCAACAUCUGGAUUCGGGGCCUCCACAUCUGGAUUUGGGGCUAAAUCGCAGCGGUUUGGGACCAUUCCUUCCACACUCGUGUCACCCUCAGUUUUUAAGAGAAAGCCCUGCCUUUUUCGGGACAAUUUCCAGUGUUUUGGGUCCAUCUUCUCCACGGCAGCGUCACUGCCUGUUUCAACAUCUGGAUGGGGAUGAUUUUGGAAGCGGAGGUGGCUCCGCAGGCUCCGAACAUCUGGAGUGGGGGCCACCUCCUCCACGUCGGUGUCGCUGCUGCUCCGGGGGCUUGUGGGAGAGGGAACAUCUGGAUUUGGGGGUGUCAUCGCCACAUCUGGCUCACCAGAUGCCCUUUGACAUCUUUGCACUGUCCCAACAUCUGGAAGGACAACAUUGUCCUCAACAUCUCUAUCGCUGUCCACACCCAGGACCAGGCACUGGGCUUUGGGAGCUCCAACAUCUGGAGCUGGGAACGUCACCUUCACAUCUGGAUCAUCCUUGGUCCGCAUCGGCCCCUUGGGAUCAACAUCUGGAGCAGUGGCCACCUGAGCAACUGUAUCCAUGCCCUCAUGGCCUGUCCCACAUGGGUUUGGAGGUCCAACGUUGGGAAGGGCAUUGAGGUCCUCCACACCUGUAUCGCUGUCACCAUUGGAGGCCACCGAGCCAUGGCUGAGGCCACCAACAUCUGGAUUCGGAGUCUCCAUCACCACAGUUGGGUCCUUCCGGGUGUUUUGGGGUGUUUUGUGGCUUUUUGGGCGAAGAACACGUUGAUUCAGGUCUUCUUCCUCCACAUCUGUGUCACUGUCCACUUCCAGGUUCUGACGCUCACUUGGGGGAUUUCCAACAUCUGGAUUUGGGUUCUGUGUCUCUACAGCUCGAUCUUUGCGUGGUUUUUUGGCAAUUCUAUGGAUUUUUUUACGCCCAACAUCUGGAUUCCCUUCAUUCUCCUCCACAUCUGUAUCGCUGUCACCAUUGGAGGCCACCGAGCCACGGCUGAGGCCACCAACAUCUGGAUUCGGUGUCUCCAUCACCACAGUUGGGUCUUUCCGGGUGUUUUGGGGUGUUUUGUGGCUUUUUGGGUGAAGAACAAAAAGGUCUUCUUCCUCCACAUCCGUGUCACUGUCCACUUCCAGGUCCUGACGCUCAUUUGGGGCAUUUUCAACAUCUGAUUUUGGGUUCUGCGUCUCCACAUCUGGAUCUCUGCAUUUGGGGGGGGCAAUUCUAUGGGUUUUUUUACGCCCAACAUCUGGAUUCCCCUCAUUCUCCUCCACGUCUGUAUCGCUGUCCACCACAAGGGUCCAUUGUUUGUUUUGGGGUGGAUCUGGCCUCUCCGUCUCCACGUCUGGGUUUCUGGGUACAUUUUGGGUUGCUCCACGGGUUUUUUUACUCCCAACAUCUGGAUUGGAAAUGUCCUCUUCCACAUCUGUAUCACUCUCCACGAGGAGACUCCAGCGUCCUUCAACAUUGCGAACUGUGGUCUCUGUCUUCACAUCUGGGCCUCUGGGGGCUCUUCUGGGGCUUUCUGAACACCCAACAUCUGGACUGGCAGUGUCCUCCUCCACAUCUGUAUCACUGUCCACCACAAGCAUCUGGUGGCCCUUUUGUGAGUCUUCAACAUCUACACGUUGCGUCUCCACCUCAAUAAUGUUUUGGGUCGUUUGAUGGGGUUUAGGGUGUCCAACAUCUGGAUUGUCUUCAUUCUCCUCCACAUCUGUGUCACUGUCCACCAGGAGCAUCUGAUGCCCAUUUUGUGAACCUUCAACAUCUGCACUGUGGGUCCCCAUCUCGCUAUUCCAGUUUUUAGACAUAUUUUGGGUCUUUUGAUGGGUUUGGGGGCACCCAACAUCUGGACUGGCUCCAUUCUCUUCCACAUCUGUAUCACUGUCCACCACGAGCAUCUGGUGUCUGUUUCUGGGCCCUUCAACAGCUGCGUUUGAGCUCUCCAUCUCCACAUCUGUAUCACUGUCCACAACUGUCCGGCAUCCAUUUUUGGGACCUCCAACAUCUGGAUGGGAGGUCUCCAUCUCCAAGCCUGUUUUUUGGGCCACGUAUGGGUCCUUUCUACAUAUUUUUGGGCACACAGUGUCUGGAAGGACCUCAACCUCCUCCACAUCUGUGUCGCUGUCCACCACAAUCAUCCGACAUCGAUUUUUGGUACCUCCAACAUCU